GACGUAGGGCGCGAGCGUUGUCCGGAUUUAUUGGGCGUAAAGAGCUCGUAGGCGGCUUGUCGCGUCGACUGUGAAAUCCCGCGGCUCAACUGCGGGUCUGCAGUCGAUACGGGCAGGCUAGAGUUCGGUAGGGGAGACUGGAAUUCCUGGUGUAGCGGUGAAAUGCGCAGAUAUCAGGAGGAACACCGGUGGCGAAGGCGGGUCGUCUGGGCCGUAUGACUGACGCUGAGGAGCGAAAGCGUGGGGAGCGAACAGG
rnacentral:rRNA from 1 species